ensembl:lncRNA
AUGCUGCUGUAUGAACAAAGACUUCACGUCUUUCAUAAGCUUUGGGUCAUGUCACAAAAUCCCUGCAUGUUAAGAUAUUCAAAAGUUUUAGUCACAAGAUUUGAUCUCCGUCAGCUGUUUUCAGUUCUGUACCGUUUCCUAGCAACAGUGGGGCAACUAGCAAGAGAAAAAAAACUCAUGCUUGUGGGAGAGGAGGGUAGUGACAGAGGAGCAGGUGACAGCCACAGGUCCAAAAAAGCCCUUGAUACAAGCCUUCUCAAAUAGCC